GCGCCCGUAGCUCAGGGGAUAGAGCAUCGGUUUCCUAAACCGAGGGUCGUAGGUUCGAAUCCUACCGGGCGCA
rnacentral:tRNA from 1 species